GCUUACCAACAGUUAGGGGGGGCACAGAGCUCUGAUUUGUAGCUUCUGCCUACUUUUGUGGUAUAAAUACUUAAUCAUGGCUGAUAUUAACUACCAAUGUGAUAUCGCUGCCCAUUGAGCUGGGAGAAGGUGCAGGCAGCUGCCUCCCAGGGACUGGUGCCGGCUGGCUCCCAUCCCCCACUGCGUGCGCCAAAGACCUCAGGGGACACGUGGGGCAGCGGACACAGGUGCAGGUAGUAUUCCAGGAGGAAUUUCAGUCCCUCAUUCUUUGUGAAGUCCACGUGACCAUGAAAAUCAGGAGGCUGUUUCUCCGUGGGCAGAUCUGAGGAUCAAGGAUCCUGUUAAUUCUGGAUUUGGAAAGAUAGACCUGGGAAAAAGACAGGCACUCACCACUUCAUUAUCUCUGAGAAAAGGCCACAGGAUUCUUGUCCUUCGGGUUCCAGCAGCAUUUAUGGCCGGUUCUCUUCAUCUGUUUCUGAAGUGAAGACUUGCAGACCCACCAAACCAGACCAGGCUGCUGGCAGAAAGAUGCUCGCGGCCGGUGUUGAUGCAUGGAAGAUGAGAAGACCCCGUGACUCAUUUCGGGAGGUAAUAUGGAUUCCUGAAAGCACUGAGAGAAUGAAGACUUUUUUGUGAAGUCCAUUUAUAAGAUACACAAGGAGGAUUCGUCACAGAAACUUCAGUCAAUCCUUUAAAAAACAGCCUUUAACAACUCCCUUGAGUUAAGCAGAAUUCCAACACCUCACACUAAAUUGAUUUCUCAGUCCAUGAAAGGGUCACGACUAAUUGAGUGAAAAGCCCAUGUUGUGAGUUGCACAGAACAGCAUAUCCACAGAAGCCAUCAUCGGGGCCCUCAGUAGCCACAAUCCAGGGCCUGGAAGUUGCACAUGGAAUCUUUUUCCCAAGAAGAACUUCAAAGUAGAGGUUUGACUUCCGGUCAACCUCUGUCCUUACAGCCUGCAGGUAACUCCCACUGUGAUGGGUUUGGGAUUGCCCAGAACUUGAGUCUGGAAGGCCAGGAUUGGAAUCCCAUUCGGAGGAGGUACAGAAGUUUCCCGAGUACCAUUCAAGUUCAGUGGUGCUCAGCCGGAGAGAGGGCGGCAUCCCUCCCCAGCUUCCCAGGACCCCUUGGCCGCUCACACAAAGAGAACCCCGCUUUGCUUGUUUGGGCCUUUGCUCCUUCCUAUUUGAUUGAAUUUGAAGAGGAACUGUUUGCCUCUGGCCGCCCAUCCUGAAUCAUAAUCAGGAUGCUGCUGGCACAGAAAGCCUGCUCCCACCCUCGCCUGAAAUAACUGAAGAGGGAAGUUGAGUUCCUCCCCACUCCAACCUGAAAGAAAGCGGCUCGUAACUUAUGACGUGCUGGCAAUACAUCAAAAGUCGAUCCAGUCACUUACAGUAAAAUCAAGGGGGGGCAGAACAAUGCAUAGAAAGUGAGGUGAAACCACCUCAUUAAAGGAACAACUUGUUCAGUCGACACUGGCUUACAUAUUUGUUAGCGGGAGUCCAGGGGCCCUCAAGAUGCUUCAGCUAUGAAGUCACACCCGCAGCUUUUUCGAUUCUUCAGCAAUUGUGCAUUUCUUAAACUCUCCAUUAAGGGACGGUGCUACUGGGAUACUGGCUCCCUAAGGCUGUUAUAACACAUCCCCCAAACCAGGUGGCUCUAAACAAUAGGACUAUGUUCCCUCCCAGUUCUGAAGGCUGGAAGUCUGAGAGCAAGGUGGGCUGCACUCCCUCAGAAGGUUCUAGAAGAUACUCCUUCCUUGUCUCCUCCAGCCUCUGGUGGCUACAGGUGUUCCUUGGCUUCUGGGCGCAUCCCUGUACUCUGUGCCUCCAGCUUCAUGUGGACUCCCUCCUUCCGAGCCUCCCUCCUACAUGUUAUUGGUUUUAGGGUCCUCCUGCAUGAUCGAGGUGAGUCUCAUCUGGAGGUUCUUAAUUUAAUUACACUGGUCACUGGUGAUGACUCUUUUCCCGGAUAAGAUCACAUUCAUAGGUACUGGAGGUUAGGAGUUGGGCAUACCUUUUGGGGAUUACCAUUUGGCCUGCUGUGGAGUCCAAAGCUGGA